rnacentral:rRNA from 1 species
GACGAACGCUGGCGGCGUGCCUAACACAUGCAAGUCGAACGAAGAGCGAUGGAAGCUUGCUUCUAUCAAUCUUAGUGGCGAACGGGUGAGUAACGCGUAAUCAACCUGCCCUUCAGAGGGGGACAACAGUUGGAAACGACUGCUAAUACCGCAUACGAUCUAAUCUCGGCAUCGAGGAAAGAUGAAAGGUGGCCUCUAUUUAUAAGCUAUCACUGAAGGAGGGGAUUGCGUCUGAUUAGCUAGUUGGAGGGGUAACGGCCCACCAAGGCGAUGAUCAGUAGCCGGUCUGAGAGGAUGAACGGCCACAUUGGGACUGAGACACGGCCCAGACUCCUACGGGAGGCAGCAGUGGGGAAUCUUCCGCAAUGGACGAAAGUCUGACGGAGCAACGCCGCGUGGGUGAUGACGGCCUUCGGGUUGUAAAGCUCUGUUAAUCGGGACGAAAGGCCUUCUUGCGAACAGUUAGAAGGAUUGACGGUACCGGAAUAGAAAGCCACGGCUAACUACGUG